AACAACGUAGGAACUAUAUUGUUCUGUCACCUCUAAGGGUGUUGUCUUUAUUUGAUAAUGGUCUCAAGUUUGUCUCUUUGUAUUUGAGGGAGACAAAUUUCCAAAGCCCUGUAUUUCAAGUCCACUGGGCUACUGCCAGUUCCUCACACUCCAUCUUUCAGCCUUCUUGGCAAGGCAUCUGGAAAAGUAUUUAAAAAGUAUUUCUGUUGUUUUACCUCCUACUAACAAUACUACAAUUGUAAUCAUGUGUUUCUAUCACAGACUUUGCCAACCCCAAUGCAUUGCACCUCUCAUUGCAUGUGAAUGAUGACUCCUGUUCUAUUCUCUCACCUUCCAACACCAUGAAGUCCAUGCUAGCUGGCUGGUUGCUAAGAAAACUAAUUGAUAGUUACCAACAAGGACCUCAAGGAAACCUCAGAUUGGCCAAGGAUCACUAUACGAAGUAAGAGCAUCAAUUUAGGAUCCUUUUCAUUUCACUUACCUUCCUCCAGUUUUUACUCACAGCUUCAUGAGUCACACUAAGAACAUAUUCUUUAUUCUUUAUUCCAGUUCUCUCCCUAAAAGAAACCUAAGUAGGGUGAACAUAUGGAUCAUAUAAGACAAGUAAAGAAGCCAUGGCAAACUCCAGUACUAAAGUCACUGGGCAGGGAAAGUCCUGAAGGAGUGAUAGUAGGGACCACCUCUCUUCAAAAUACUUUUCAGUGGGAUAAAUUCAUUUACUAAGGCAGAAGUUCUCAAAAUAUGUGAGGUCCCUGCACCAGCAGCAUAAGUAUCAUUGGGGAACUUGCUAGAAAUACCAAUUCUCAGGCCCCAACACUGUCCUGAGUUUGAGUCAUAAACUCAGGGAGUGGGGUCAAGCAAUCGGUAUUUUAACAAGCCCUCCAGGUGACUGACUCAAGCUAAAGUGUGAAAACUACUAUACUUAGCAAAUCUUGGGAAACUUCAUGCCAUUCCAUCUUCAGCAAAGGUCUUGGACAUAACAUCCAAACUGAUUAUUCCAUUAUUUCAUUCCAGACUCAGAAAGAAGCCACAGCCUCUGCUAGACUUUUGGCUGUACACACCACUGUCUCAGGGGAUCUCUCUGUAACACAUUAACUGGUCGUCUUCUCUUACUGCCUUUGCUUCUCAUUCCUGACCCCAGUCAGAGGUUGUCUGUCAGACUUGGUUUAAGCCUCUCUGGCCAAACACUAUAUCUAAUGAAUGGAUAAACAAAAUGUAGUAUAUAUGUACAAUGAAAUAUUAUUCAGUCGUAAAAGAAGUGCAGUUGUUAUAUGUUACCACGUAAAUGAACCUUGAAAACAUGCUAAGUGAAAGAAACCAGACAUAAAAGACCACAUAUUGUAUGAUUCAUUUAAUGAAAUGUCCAGAAUAGACAAAUAGAUGCAAAAAGUAGUUUAGGGGCUGGGGGCGGUGGCUCACGCCUGUAACCCCAGCACUUUGGGAGGCCGAGGCGGGUGGAUCACGAGAUCAAGAGAUCAAGUCCAUCCUGGUCAACAUGGUGAAACCCCAUCUCUAUUAAAAUACAAAAAAUUAGCUGGGCAUGGUGGCGUAUGCCUAUAAUCCCAGCUACUCAGGAGGCUGAGGCAGGAGAAUUGCUUGAACCCAGGAGGCGGAGGUUGCGGUGAGCCGAGGUUGCGCCAUUGCACUCCAGCCUGGGUAACAAGAGUGAAACUCCGUCUCAAAAAAAAAAAAAGUAGUUUAGUAGUUACCAAGGGAUGAGGAAGGGGAGAAUAGCGAUUAACUGCUAAUAGGUAUGGGGUUUCUUUCAGGGGUGAUGGAAAUGUUCUAGAAGUAUGUAGUGGUAUUAGUUGCUCACCAUAGUCAAUAUACUGAAAUAGACAUACAAAAUGUUGAAUUCUAUGUUAUAUAAAGUAUAUAUCUCAAUUUUUACAUGCUAUAAAAGAAAAAAAAUGUUGUGUUGAAUAUUGUACUUGGGUUCAAAAUAGCAUAUGAGUCCGAGCAAUUGCUGAACAAAAAUCCAUGUGAAAAUAACGUGGAAUUUUUGUUAACUGGAGCCUAAAUGAGAUAAUUUUGCAAUCUGACUACUGAGAAUGCUAAGUUGAUCUUUGAUUGCAAUUGGCAGUGUUCCGGUUAAGGAAGAAGGUAGUCAUUCUUUCUGCUCUGUUCACCAGAGUGAACCAUUUCUAGGGUCGUGGAUUCGGUAAUGGGCAUUUAAGAAUGUUGACAAAAUUCAGCAAUAAAAAGAAAUGAAGACAUGCCACGUGGUGCUGUGGCAGGCAGCAGGGCCUGGGUGGUUGAGGCAGCUGAGCAGCAGACACGCACACCACAAAGCGUGGUGAUGGAACAGUAACUGGGCUUGUGAGAGGGCUCUACAGUAUAAACUAGGAGACAAGAUCCACAGAUUCACCAUAAACCAGGUGACAUCUGUUCCUGAGCUAUUUCUGACUGCAGUGAACCUCAGCCAUGAUGGUUCACUGGAGCCAGAUAUUUAAACCUGGCCAGAGAAGACACAAAUAAUCUAUUCAGCAUGCAGUUCUGCACCACUCCUGUGGACAGCACCAGUGUUUCUCACAUUCUUGAGCAUACUAUCCUUUGUGGGUCUCAGAAAUAUCCAUGCAGAGACCCUUUCUUCAAAAUGUUGAACUGGUCCCUAUCCACUUUCAUAAACCCCUUCACAGUGAUUAUACUCUGUAUCCAUUUUUCACACAAAAUCCCAAGGACUUUCAGAAUCUCCUCUCAGUGUAUUUGGAUGCCGCCUUUUCCCCAUGUUUACCAGAGCUGGAUUUCUGGCAGGAAGGUCUGAAUGACCCCCAGAUGUCCUUGGUCUUUAAAGGAGUCUGCUUUAAUGAGGUGAAGGAAGCAUUUACAGACAAUGAGAGGAUAUUCUCCCAGCACCUUCAGAACAGACUUCUUCCAGACCACACUUACUCAGUGGUCUCUGGGGGUGAUCCAUUGUACAUCCCAGAGCUUACAUGGGAGCAAAUUAAGCAAUUUCAUGUCACUCACUCUCACUUAAGCUAUGCUAGGUUAUUCAUGCAUGGUAAUUUUCUGUUAGAACAGCAUCUGAAACAAAUUCAUGAGGAAGCACUGAGAAAAUUUCAGAAAAUUGAACUGAGCACCACAGUGCCAGUUCAGACACCCUGGGACAAGCCUAAGGAAUUCCAGAUAACAUGUAGCCCAUAUUCAUUUUCUACAGAUCCCUCUAAACAAACAACCAUCAGCAUUAACUUCCUAUUACCAGACAUCAUCAACACAUUUGAAGAAUUCACACUAAGUCUUCUGUCUUCACUCUUGAUUUCUGGGCCCAACUCUCUUUUACAAAGCCUUGAUUGAAUCUGGCCUUGGCACAGACUUUUCUCCUGAUGUUGGAUAUAAUAGCUAAUAAGGGAGGCCUGCUUCAGAGUUGACCUCCAAGGGAUUGUGGAGAAAGACAUAGAGACCAUCAGAUGAGUCAUAAACAAAACAAUUGAUGAAGUAGUUGAGAAAAGAUUUGAAGAUGAUCAAAUUGAAGCUUUACUUCAUAAAAUUGAAAUACAGAUGAAACAUCAGUCUGCCAGCUUUGUAUUGACUCUGACAUCAUACAUAGCUUCUUGCUGGAACCAUGAUGGGAACCCUGUGGAGCUCUUGAAGUGGGAAAUCAGUUGGCUAAAUUCAGACAGUGCCUGCAGAAAAAUCCAAAAUUUUUACAAGAAAAAGUAAAACAGUAUUUUAAGAAUAAUCAGCAUAAGCUGACUUUAUCAAUGAGUCCAAACGACAAGGGUCAUGAGAAGCAAGCACAGGCAGAAGCUACAGAGCUCAAGCAGAAGGUUGAGGCUUUGUCCUCCAGAGACAGGCAGCAGAUCUACAAGAAAGGUUUAGAAUUACGGACUCAACAAAGCAAACCUCAAAAUGCCUCUUGUCUGCCAGUGUUGAAAGUUUCAGAUAUUGAGCCCACCAUACCUAUCAAGAAGUUGGAAGUGGUCCUGACAAUUGGAGAUAUCCCUGUUCAGUACUGCACCCAGCCCACCAAUGGUGUGGUAUAUUUCUGGGCCUUCUCCAGUCUGAACAUGCUCCCUGAGGAGCUGAGCCCCUAGGUGCCUCUUUUCUGCAGCAUCCUCACCAAACUGGGCUGUGGCCUACCUGACUACCAGGAGCAGGCUCAGCAGAUAGAACUGAAGACUGGAGGAAUGAUCGCUUCUCCCCACGUGCUCCCUGACAACUUGCAUAUGGAUACCUAUGAGCAGGGUGUGCUUUUCUCCUCUCUCUGCCUGUACCGAAACCUGCCAGACAGAUGCAUUUAUGGAGUGAAAUAUUUAACAACCCAUGCUUUGAGGAAGAAAAAGAUUUAAAAGUGCUGGUGAAGAUGACUACCAUGCAUUUCUCUUCCCAGAGGAAAGGGUAUCUGCCUCACCAUUGCUGAAGAGAGAGAUGAGAGACUGGCGGCCAAACAGAGCAGUGGGUAAAAUGGUCUCUAGUGACAUGUUAGAAAGAUUUUUGUGCUUAAUUAAAGAUAACAUGGCAUGAAAAAAAGAUCAUUCAUCAUGACCAAGUGGAAUUUAUCCCAGGAAUGCAAGGAUAGUUGAACACACACAAGUCUAUGAAUAUGAUACAUCAUAUGUAUCAUAAUGAAAGAUGAAAACCAUAUGAUCAUUUCAAUUGAUGCCAGAAAAGCAUUUGUUAGUAUUUAACAUCCCUUCAUGAUACAAGAAAAACCUCAAAAAAUUGGAUAUAGAAGGAACAUACAUCAACAUAAUAAAAGCCAUAUAUAACAGACCCACAGCUAUUAUUAUACAGAAUGGGGCAAAAUUGAAAGUCUUUUCUCUAAGAUCGGGAACACAACAAGGUUGUCCACUUUUUUAUUAAACAUAUUACUGGAAGUCCUAGUUAGAGCAAUCAGAGAAGAGAAAGAAGUUAAGGGUCUCCAAAUUGGAAAGGAAGAAGUAAAAUUAUCCUUGUUUAAAAAUGAUAUGAUCCUAUAUUUUGAAAAAAUCCUAAGGAAUCCACACACAAACAGACACACAUACAAAAACUAUUAGAACUGAUAAACUCAGUAAAGUUGAAGGAUACAAAUAUCAGGAGCAUUUCUGUAUGUUAAGAGCAAACAAUCUGAAAAAAGAAAUCAAAAUAUUAAUCCCAUUUACAAUAGUCACAAAUAAAAUAAAAUACCUAGGAAUUAUCCAAAGAAGUGAAAUAUCUCUAUAAUGAAAACUCUAAAAUAGUGAUAACA